rnacentral:rRNA from 1 species
UACGGGGGGCAAGCGUUGUUCGGAAUUACUGGGCGUAAAGGGCGCGUAGGCGGUUGGAUAAGUCAGCUGUGAAAACCACGGGCUUAACUCGUGGCCUGCAGUUGAGACUGUCUGGCUUGAGUGUGGGAGAGGAGAGUGGAAUUCCUGGUGUAAGCGGUGAAAUGCGUAGAGAUCCGGAGGAACACCAGUGGCGAAGCGGCUGGCUGGACCGUGACCGACGCU